CGAGUGUUUCAAAGCAAACACAGUAGUGUGCAAUGCUAAAGUUCCAACAUGCAUGUACUUACUUUGUUUGUUCUGAAAUGUUCU
rnacentral:pre_miRNA from 1 species